rnacentral:misc_RNA from 1 species
UCCGGCUUAACGCCGGCGGUCUCCCUAGAGUGCCCAACUAAAUGGUGGCAACUAAGGAUAAGGGUUGCGCUCGUUAAGGGACUUAACCCGACAUCUCACGAUACGAGCUGACGACAGCCAUGCAGCACCUGUCUCGCAGUCUCCGAAGAGAAAGCCCUACUUCUAGGGAUGUCUGCGGAUGUCAAAUCCAGGUAAGGUUCUUCGCGUUGCAUCGAAUUAAACCACAUGCUCCACCGCUUGUGCGGGCCCCCGUCAAUUCCUUUGAGUUUUAACCUUGCGGCCGUACUUCCCAGGCGGGGUACUUAAUGCGUUGGCGUCGACACUGCAGGGGUCAAUUCCUGCAACAUCUAGUACCCAUCGUUUACAGCGUGGACUAC